AGUGAACGCUGGCGGUAGGCCUAACACAUGCAAGUCGAACGGCAGCACAGUAAGAGCUUGCUCUUACGGGUGGCGAGUGGCGGACGGGUGAGGGAUACAUCGGAAUCUACUUUUUCGUGGGGGAUAACGUAGGGAAACUUACGCUAAUACCGCAUACGACCUACGGGUGAAAGCAGGGGAUCUUCGGACCUUGCGCGAUUGAAUGAGCCGAUAUCGGAUUAGCUAGUUGGCGGGGUAAAGGCCCACCAAGGCGACGAUCCGUAGCUGGUCUGAGAGGAUGAUCAGCCACACUGGAACUGAGACACGGUCCAGACUCCUACGGGAGGCAGCAGUGGGGAAUAUUGGACAAUGGGCGCAAGCCUGAUCCAGCCAUACCGCGUGGGUGAAGAAGGCCUUCGGGUUGUAAAGCCCUUUUGUUGGGAAAGAAAAGCAGCAGGUUAAUACCCCGCUGUUCUGACGGUACCCAAAGAAUAAGCACCGGCUAACUUCGUG
rnacentral:rRNA from 1 species